UUUCCACUCCCAGAAAGCAAUUACAAACGAAGUUCCCAAAAUAACAAAAACCCCAAAAAUCAAACAAAAAACCUAAUUCAAUCAAUCAAUCAAUCAAUCAAUCAAUCAAAUUCGGAUUUGUAUUUGAAUACAAAUCGAGAUUCAACUAAAGAGAUCUUUGGAAUUGGGUUUUGAUUCUGUUGGGAGAGAUGAAUGGUGGUGGUGGUAGAGGCAAUUACAGAAACCCUUGUUUGACGAUGCAUCAACCAUGGGCAUCAUUGUUAGUCUAUGGUAUUAAGCGUAUCGAAGGAAGAUCAUGGCCUGCUCCUAUUAGAGGCCGACUUUGGAUCCACGCUGCUGGUAAAGUUCCGGAUCAAGAGACAAUCAAAGCAAUGGAAGACUUUUAUAGAGAAAUCUAUAAAGUGAACGGAGUUGGAGAAUUGAAAUUUCCAGAGCAUUAUCCAACUUCACGACUAUUAGGUUGUAUUGAUGUGGUUGGGUGUCUUAGGCGGAAUGAAGUCGAGUGUUGGCAGGAGGUACCCGAAGGGGUGAGACUAGAAGCUCAAACGGAUUUUUGCUGGCUAUGUGAAAAUCCACAGAGAUUAUUGAUCCCAUUUGAGAUGCGAGGGUUUCAAGGUGUGUAUAACUUGGAAAGACGGAUAUAUGACGCCGCAGUUAGAGGUCUCACUCCAGUUAAAAGUCCAUUACCUGUAAAGUUUCCACUUCCACAUUCCAGAGAUUCUUUCUCUCUGAAACCAGGAUCACUUGUCUCGAGCUUGUCUUCUUUGAAAGUAUCUGAAGUUAAAAAACCAGAGACUCUUAUGGCAGCUAUUGCUGGUGCACGCGCUGCAGCUACCCAAUACUCAAAGCAACCUCAGAGAUCCCCAACUACUAACACAAUCCCACAAAGAGAUGAUCCAGAUUCUAGAGAAGCAAGUCAGUUUAAGAACAAAUCAAAUUAUUCAGAAAUGAACGAAAGGCAUGUUGCAGAGCAUGAUCGCCCAGUUCAAAAUGGAAAUUUGGCGCAUAAUGUAAGAAACAGUCGAGAGUUUUCUGAUGGUACAAGUUGUAGUAGCCAAAUUCAAGAUCAUAGUAGAGAUUGGAACCAUCGACCGCAGGACAGAACUGUCGAGGAGUCCAGAAACCCUGCAACCAUUGUCUCAGACAGGUCUCGACUACCACAAAAUGAACGUUACAGAGACCAUGGUGGACGAAGGAAUUGGUAGCGGUACAGUUCUAGAGAUAUGAAACUCAUUGUUGGGACUCCUGAGGGUUCAUUAAUCAGCACCUGGAAUCAAAUCCGGCGAUGGGUGAAUAGGUUCCUUUACCUCGUGGACACUCAUGAUUUUGUUAUUGGAUAUUUCUCAUGUCACCUAUUGCGCAUGCCUCUGUGACUGUCUUUCCCCUGAUUCUCACUGCAGCAAUGAAAGGCCUUAGGCCCGCAUGAUAAGUGUUUAAACCAUGGAUUCAUUAAAGCACAGACUUGAAUGGCUAUAUAUGGAUGAUUCAGUACAGGUAUUUCGAUGGAUGCAGGCAAAUGGCUCGCAUAAGUGAAACUGCUAUUUCUGGAAUAGCAGAGUAUGCAUGUUGUACUAUAGAUUAUGGGUCAUAACUCGUAAGGGAUCCAAGAAUGGGGUGAUAAAUCAAUCGAAAGCCGGAAAUGCGUUAUAAAAUGAUACAGUAACCUACUCCCAGUCAUCUUUUACAUAUACAGACUCAGCUACAGAACUUUUGUUG